rnacentral:rRNA from 1 species
CCUACGGGAGGCAGCAGUGGGGAAUAUUGGGCAAUGGGCGCAAGCCUGACCCAGCAACGCCGCGUGAAGGAAGAAGGCUUUCGGGUUGUAAACUUCUUUUCUGAGGGACGAAGAAAGUGACGGUACCUCAGGAAUAAGCCACGGCUAACUACGUGCCAGCAGCCGCGGGAAUACGUAGGUGGCAAGCGUUAUACGGAUUGAUUGGGUGUAAAGGGCGUGUAGGCGGGAAAGGAAAUCAGAUGGGAAAACUCAGGGGUUAACCCUGAGCCUGGAUUUGAAACUGUUUUUCUUGAGUGCUGGAGAGGCAAGCGGAAUGCGGGGUGUAGCGGUGAAAUGCGUAGAUAUCAGGAGGAACACCAGUGGCGAAGGCGGAUUGCUGGCCAGUAACUGACGCUGAGGCGCGAAAGCGUGGGGAGCGAACAGGAUUAGAUACCCGAGUAGUC